rnacentral:rRNA from 1 species
CGUAGGGUGCGAGCGUUAAUCGGAAUUACUGGGCGUAAAGCGUGCGCAGGCGGUUUAGUAAGACAGGCGUGAAAUCCCCGGGCUCAACCUGGGAACUGCAUUUGUGACUGUAUAGCUAGAGUACGGCAGAGGGGGAUGGAAUUCCGCGUGUAGCAGUGAAAUGCGUAGAUAUGCGGAGGAACACCGAUGGCGAAGGCAAUCCCCUGGGCCUGUACUGACGCUCAUGCACGAAAGCGUGGGGAGCAAACAGGAUUAGAUACCCUGGUAGUCCACGCCCUAAACGAUGUCAACUGGUUGUUGGGUCUUCACUGACUCAGUAACGAAGCUGACGCGUGAAGUUGACCGCCUGGGGAGUACGGCCGCAAGGUUG